AUAGUACAUGCAUAAUAUUGAUAAAAAUUUUAUGAUUUUAAUUAUAAUUUAAAAUAAGGAAAAAAAAUAAAAGAAAAAUUACAACAGCAUUCCACAUAAUUUUUUAAGUACCUCUGAAAAGGUAUGAAUGUGGUAAUAAUUGGUAACACAUUAUUUUAAGGUGUCCUUGUUACACAUCUCAUGUACUUACUAUUAUAAUAAUGCAUAAUUAAUAAUAGUUAAUAAUGCAUAAUUACAUGCAAGUAACCCAAAGCCAAACCCUCAGCCUAACCAUAACCAUAUUGUAAGUACCCAGUACUUAAAAGUAUAACUACACUGUAACAAGGACACCUUAAAAUAAAGUUUAACCUAAUAAUUCAGUACCAUGGAUAGUCAGACACCAGGGUACCACCACCAUACUUUUUGGCAAGGGACAGCACAUCAUGAAAGAGGCAUCCAGCUAGCUCUUACCACUAUUAUAAAGCAAUGGUGACCUUUAAAUGUUGGAUGAAAUAUGUUUUGGCUUUCCAAUAACACUAUGUAACUCUCAGCUAUGUAGUAUAAAAGAACACAAAUAACUUAACAUCCAUCUGCACUAUAUACAGGGUUAGUAUAGUGGCCAUUCCUGAUAGUGUGUGUGUGUGUGUGUGUGUGUGUGUGUGUGUGUGUGUGUGUGUGUGUGUGUGUGUGUGUUUGACCAUAAAGUUGUAAUGGAAGCAUCAUGUCUGUCUCUUUUCUGCCAGCUCUUCCCAUCACAGCAUAUUUACAGUCUCAAAGGAAACAGAGGAAGAAACACACACAUAAAGGAGCCAUUCCUCAGGGAUGACAUAUUACCCACGUCCAGUCGAGGAGAAAAAACUGCACCCAGGACAGCACUGAGGGAAAAAAAUCUUGUUUUCUCUCAUGUUGGAAUUUCCCGCCAGAACUGUACCACUAGGAAAUGUUGACUUUAUUCCUCUGUUUUUGCAAUUCUUUGUGCAAGUUCCUUUUUCAUUUCUGUUCAAGAUUGGACGCUGAAUGCUGGAAAACCCUUAUGCCAAAGGACUCCACAGAGAAGACACGAGAAUGAAACUGUCUUCAGGUUGGCUACCUUUACAAGCUCAUGUAUCACCUAUGACAGCUUCACUAAAAGAUUUCCCUCAGAUACAUUACAGGCUGAGUCAUAUAGUAUCUGCUGCUUUCCAAACAGUUACAGACUCUCACUGUAAAUCAAAGUACAAUGUUUAAGCAUUUUUAAAACAAGAACAGUUUACCUCAAAAGCUAUUCAAGGUAAAGCAUAUAAUCUCUGUGCCACCCGUGGCAACAAUUGGAAUUAAAAAAAUAAUGAGUGUUUUCAAACUGGUUUCCUAAAACAUGAAGACUGAAAUGUCUGUCAUUGGUUGAUAAAACAGCUAGCCCCGCCCCUACACUUACACCAUUGGUUGAGUCGAUCUUGCUGUGCUGAUCGGAAUGAUAUAUUCCUUUAAUAAACACAGCAGCAUUUUUUUUAUUUAUUUAUUUUUUUUACAGUGCCACAGAGUCACAGUGCUUAAACUUUCCAGGGAAGUCAACCUACAAAAUAGCUUACUUGCUUACUUCGGAUAUUAAGCUUGGAUAGGAGAAAGCAUUUUAACACUAAAAAAAUGUCACAUUUCAUCUUGAAGCCUUGUUAUUAGAAAAUGCAUCAUAAUUACUAGUGUAGUGUGUUGUUUGGUUCUAGUAGCCAGUUUUUAAAGUUGUUUAAAGCAUAUACUUCACUACAUUGAUUAUUUUAUUUAAUAUUAAUACGCUAGAAACCACAAAAAUCAAAGUUUCUUUUUUGCACCAAGGGUUCUAUGAAGAAUGUUUAACUAUCAUGGAAGCUUUUCAUUGCAAAAAAUGUCAUUCGUAGUGGGAAAGGGAUUUCUAAGAUGAUUUUAAAAAGGUUAUUUAAAGAACUUAACAGAACCCAAAAUAGUUCUUCUGUGGCAAUGCUGAGAAAACCCCCUUUUUUGAAAUUAUUUAUAAAAGGGCAGCAAUACUCUGGCAGUCAACCACCACAUUUAGCCAUAAUAUAAUACAAAUAACUGAACAUAGGAUUUACAAAAAGGUACUGUGAUGGUAUCAUGGUGUGGUGUUGGUAUUGUAAUGUAAACCAUGGUAUUCAAUAAUAUUUCAUGGUAUUCUCUCGUCCAAAAGCAAAUGUCAUGGCGAUUUUUUAUAAAGUAAGCUCUGGAAACCUUGACUGACCCUGACAACAGUCAGUGUUUUUCAGCCUGUGGUCAAAAACAGGCAUUCUAUCAUUCACAGUUUCUUUCUGGGGGACUGACGGCAAACAGGCAUCACACUGUUAGUGCAUUAGACUGAAGACAUAUGCCUGGAUAAUAAACACAACUCUUUCACCAGGCCACUGACAGCAUGCAAGAGACUCACCCCACACUCUCAUUCCACAUAAAUAAAUAACUAUCUAGUUCCUGCUACAUGAUAAACAGUGUGGGAGAGCUUUCAGAUGAACGUACAAAAAAUGCAGGAUUUGAAAAAUGUGCCAUAUUUCACAUCCUGCUUCAUCAAAGCUUAAUUAACAUCAAGAUGAGAAUUUGUUAGUCUUCCUUGUACUUCACAGGGUUCUUUAGAGUAAAAUGAACUUUUAAUAAAACUUGAUACAAAUAAAGGAACAGUAACGUCUUGAUGGGGGAAAAAGUCACACUGCAUAUGUCCUAUCUCAACAUUUAAGAGAAAUUUCACCCAAAAUCCCAAUCUGGCCUUUUCUCCCAUAAAGGAAGUUUAGUAGAAUGUUUAAGCUGCUCUUUUCCAGAAAGCUUUGUAAAUGAUUUAUUCAUGCGUUUACACAUCAUCUAUAACAUGUGUUGAACACUUUGUAGUGUGUACUGCAGGGUAAGUGCUGACUGGUGAGGGUAUAGACAGCUGUCUUCUCUGACACACAGUCAGAGUUUUUAACUCUGUGCACCUGAUGUGAGCUUCAGUGGAAGGUAAAUGGGGUUGAGAGGUUCACUUUAUCACUAGAUCCCACACACUCCACACUGAACACAAGUCUGUGCUGAUGAGUGAAAGCAUUUAACACAACCCACUGCAAUCACCUGACUAAGGCAUUUAUAAAUGUUUAUCCACUUUAAAACAAAUAAAUUACUCGUCUUAAAAAUAGUGCUUUAGCAUACCUGCAUGUUUGUGCUUUUGAACACAGACCAGCUUACAACUUCAUGAAUAAAUCAUAUAUUGAUCAUUUACUAAUGGUUUAUUCAUCAUUUGUUCAUGAUUAACCAUUGUUUAUUAUAAUAAUUAUACAAAACAAAUUUGACAUAAAUACUUCAAUGAGUAAUAAGUGAUAAUGUAUCAACUAAUAACUUAUAAACCAUUUACUAAUGAUCUGUUUGAUUAAUUUCAUGAUUAUUUUUUUAAGAUAACUUGCAACCCAUUUGUAAAUCGUUAGCAUAUCACUCAUUAAUCAUUUAUGAACGUAUAGUCAUGUUUUGUAAAUGAUUCGUUCAUAAUUAACUAAUAACUUAUAAGUGACUUAUAACUGAAUUAAUAAAACAUUACUAAAAUAUUAACAUCACUUAUUAAUCAUUUCUGAAUGUAUAGUCAUGUUUUGUGAAUUAUUAGUUCAUCAUUAACUAAUAAUUUAUAAAUGACUUGUAGCUGAACGUUAUUAUAAAGUGUUACCAAUACUUUUUAAAUAUAAAUAUAAAGGUGAUACAGAAUUUUCAUGUUUGAGUGAACUAAACUGCACAUAAUCCAAUAUGUCAAUUGUGUGAAUUCUGCUAAAUAAAUCAGGUCAUUCCAAACAAGCACAGAUUGUACACAGGCACAAGACUUUGCCUGAGGAAGCCACAAAGAAGCAGAUGCCACUGAGUGUGAGAGAGAGACUGGGAGAUUUUCUGACUUCAUCUCGAAUCAUCUUUGCAGAAAACUGUUCAUUUUAAGCUGCCCAGGUUGUAGGCUGUGCUUAAUGACGAGAGUUAUCUCCCAUGAGCACAUGGUGCUCAGAUACGGCUUAAACACACAGCUGAACACUGAAUGUAGAUGAUUGCGAAUCGAAGGGUGAUGCCAAAGGUUAACAGCUAAUUUAUUAGAACACACAUGCUUACACACACACACACACACACACACACACACACACACAAAUAUGCUCUUGCAUAGUCUAAAACUUUUGUUAAACCAAUGCCAUCAAAUUAUGACCGUGAUUCUAGAUUAUAAACCCAUACAUGCCUGGGUCCACGGCAGGUCCUGUGAAGCUGAUCUUCAGGUCUAUGAAUGCUAAAUUAGGUCUGUUCCAACCUCUGUGCCAUCAAACAUCUGCUGUUGAAUAAACAUUGUUUACCUGUGUAAUCGAUGAGGGAGCAUUGAGUAUCCAGAGAGAGUCUUGCAGCCAGUGAAUCCCAAAGUACACCCUAGCAAUUCAAUGAGAGAGCGGCAAAUCACAUGACACUCUUGGGUCUGCAGUUACAAAGGUAACCUUCCCUCACCUGGAGUUGAGAAGAGACUUUACAAUGACACACAAAUGAACAGAAGUCUUAACAGACUGUUAAUGUAGCUUAUCUGCUGGAGUGUUGCACUAACAAUACUAAUGUCUUGGGUUUGACUGAAGCAGUACAAACAGACAGACAAUAGCAAAUCAACCAAGAAGCUCUAUGACACUAUUAAAGCGAUCUUUUGGUAUUCCUAUUUAUCUCAAUUUUUUCACGGGCACUCAGUUAUGGAUGCAGUUGUUUUUGAGGCAUAAAUGCCAUGUGAGUAAUCACUGUUGAGCCAUAGGGAAAUGAUGUCAUGAUGCUAAUUGGCUGAUAUUACCACACGAAAGAGUACAGACGCAAACCCUUCACUAUCAACUGUGAUGUUAAAGGCAGUAGGCAGAAAAAAAAUACAAAUGUAAAAUUUUUUGAGGCCCCCUCAUAAUAAUAAUAAUAAUAAUAAUAAUAAUAAUAAUAAUAAUAAUAAUAAUAAUAAUAAUAAUUUAUUUCUACCCUUUAAUAGUCAUUAAUACAUGUUGCCCAUAAAUUAGUUGUAGCCAUAGUUAUGGCAUUUACCAGCAGGGUAACCAUGACUUCCUGAAGGCAACAUUCUUAAUGCAGGAAUAAUUGAAUGCUGACAUUUUGACCUUAACGGAAUAGUUAUACUAAAUACUAAAUAAAUAAAUAAAUAAAACAAAACAAAAUAAAAUAUUAAAUGUAAAAAAUUAAAUAAAAAAAAUCACCAUUAUAUCACUUUAAACAACUUUAAAUUAAAAAAAAAAAGUUAUUUAGCAAAAUGUCCAUGCUUUUCCAUUUCAUACAAUGAAAAUAGAUGGAGAGCAGUGGCUGUUGAGCAUCAAAAAGAAAGAAAGAAAGAAGACAAAGAAAAAGCAUGGAGCAUGGAGUCAUUUGAGAACAGUUACAAUCUUUGUCUACUUUGCACAUUUUUUUUUAAAAGUUAAAGAUAUUAAAUAUGAGUGUUUGGCCAUUAAAAAUGUUAAACUGAAAAGCUCAGCAUGUUUUGUUGUUUAUUGAUGAAAGUUUCCCUUGACCACACACACCAACACACACGCAUGCACAUAAACCAAGACAACGAACAGCACCAUGCACAGCUUGGUCCUUAAACUCAAGUUUUAUGCACCAUCUUUCACAGUUUGUGACAAAAAUAAAUUCAGUAUUUUAACUAUAAUUUCAGCCUGCAGAUGCUCUGAAGCGACAAGCAAACACACACACACACACACACACACACACACACGCAGGCAGGUGUAGGGGUGAGCUUUAGAGCUGUAACAAGUAAGUUCUGAAUAGUGCAGCAUCCAUUUAUGUUUUAAAUAAAAAUACACUGAUGCUAUUUUAUAGUUUUUGUACUAACAUUAUUUGCAUUUAGUGGAAAUAACUAAGUCUACACUGGGGUGACAAAACUUUGGUAACACUUUUCUUAUGUAUAAUGCACAUAUAAAUGUACGUGUAUGAAGGUAUUCAUAAUGUAUGUUUUAAUGCAUUAUAUCUGCUCA
rnacentral:lncRNA from 12 species